AUAUAUAUAUACACACAUACACCACACUCACACACGUACAAAUAAGUGUGUGAGAGUGGUGUGUGUGUGUUUUCAUGUAG